rnacentral:antisense_RNA from 1 species
UAUAGAGCAGGAGUGAAGGCAGGAGGCCAGGGAAGGGAUGCUCUCAGAGGGGUGUGCUGAUGGAGACACUAGAUUCCAAAUUAGGGUGUGAUACGGGGGCAACCGAGAAGAGAAACUACAGUGUCAAAUCCCAAGCCGCCCACCCCAAAGGCAUGCAAGGGUCAGAAAGCAAGUUGCCCGCCCUCGCUCACUUGGCCCCGCACGUUGAAGCCGUAGCCGGACUCGGACUUGACGAUGCGCACGACCCGCGGGCCGCCGCCUCCCCCGCCGCCGUUCCCGGCGCAGUGAAGCCCAGACCCCCCGCCGCCGCCGCCACCUCCGUUCCUGUGAGGGGCUGAGGGGUGAAUCCCUUCCCCGUCCUCGUCCGCCAUCUUGCGAGCAGGAGAGCCGUACCCCCGCCCCCUACGCCUCCAAGGCCUCCCGGCGCGUGCUUGCCCUGCCCGGCAGCCGCACGACCCCCGACGCGCGCGCCCGAUCCGCCGGCCGCGGGACCGACUCGGCCACCAAGCUGCUGGCGCGGGGUGAAGAGGAGGCA